rnacentral:rRNA from 1 species
CAGUCGCCGCGGGAAUACGUAGGUGGCAAGCGUUAAUCGGAAUUACUGGGCGUAAAGCGUGCGCAGGCGGUUUCUUAAGUCUGAUGUGAAAGCCCCCGGCUCAACCGGGGAGGGUCAUUGGAAACUGGGAAACUUGAGUGCAGAAGAGGAGAGUGGAAUUCCACGUGUAGCGGUGAAAUGCGUAGAGGUGUGGAGGAACACCAGUGGCGAAGGCGACUCUCUGGUCUGUAACUGACGCUGAGGAGCGGAAGCGUGGGGAGCGAACAGGAUUAGAUACCCCGGUAGUCCCUGUCUCUUAUAC